AUAAGAUCCGGGAGUGUGAGGGGAUACGAUCCGAGAGAGUGUGAGGGUAUAAGAUCCGGGAGUGUGAGGGGAUAAGAUCCGAGAGAGUGUGAGGGUAUAAGAUCCGGGAGUGUGAGGGUAUAAGAUCCGGGAAGUGUGAGGGUAUACGAUCCGAGAGUGUGAGGGUAUAAGAUCCGGAAGUGUGAGGGUAUAAGAUCCGAGAGAGUGUGAGGGUAUAAGAUCCGAGAGAGUGUGAGGGUAUAAGAUCCGAGAGAGUGUGAGGGUAUACGAUCCGAGAGAGUGUGAGGGUAUACGAUCCGAGAGAGUGUGAGGGUAUA
ensembl:lncRNA